rnacentral:rRNA from 1 species
AUUAAAUAAAUCAAAACUUUCAACAACGGAUCUCUUGGUUCUGGCAUCGAUGAAGAACGCAGCGAAAUGCGAUAAGUAAUGUGAAUUGCAGAAUUCAGUGAAUCAUCGAAUCUUUGAACGCACAUUGCGCCCGCCAGUAUUCUGGCGGGCAUGCCUGUUCGAGCGUCAUUUCAACCCUCAA